CUCAGCAAGCCAACAGGUUACCGAACUGCGGCGCAGGAAUUUGACGAACACGACAGGCAGCAUCUUGCAGAUGCAAUUCGUUGCUCCAUUAAAACGGUGC